UCUGGUGGCGAUAGCGAAGAGGUCACACCCGUUCCCAUGCCGAACACGGAAGUUAAGCUCUUCAGCGCCGAUGGUAGUUGGGGGCUCUCCCCCUGUGAGAGUAGGACGCUGCCAGGC
rnacentral:rRNA from 1 species